UACGUAGGAGGCGAGCGUUGUCCGGAUUUACUGGGCGUAAAGCGCGCGCAGGCGGCACUUCAAGUAAGGUGUGAAAUCUCCCUGCUCAACGGGGAGGGUGCACUUUAGACUGAGGAGCUAGAGGACGGUAGAGGGGGGUGGAAUUGCUGGUGUAGCGGUGAAAUGCGUAGAGAUCUGGAGGAACACCGGUGGCGAAGGCGACAUCCUGGACCGGUAUUGACGCUGAGGCGCGAAAGCCAGGGGAGCAAACGGG
rnacentral:rRNA from 1 species